rnacentral:lncRNA from 1 species
UUUGCUGGAGGCUCUAUGAGUGAAACUGAGCUUGGAGUGAGCUAGUGAGAUGUGGAUUGUGGACUGUGCAAUAAGAGCCGAGAUGGAGAAAAAGAGAGAGGCAUGGUCUAUGGAGAAAGAGAGAGAGGUGUGGUCUUCUUCAUAGCUUUGUCUGUGGAAUCAAGUGCGGCGGGGGUGCAAAGGAAUGAGAAAGCAGAAGAAACAGAACGAAGAGUUG